GAUGAAGAACGUAGCGAAAUGCGAUAACUAAUGUGAAUUGUAGAAUUCAGUGAAUCAUCGAGUCUUUGAACGCACAUUGCGCCCCCUGGUAUUCCGGGGGGCAUGCCUGUCCGAGCGUCAUUGCUGCCCUCAAGCACGGCUUGUGUGUUGGGCCUCCGUCCUCCUCCCGGGGGACGGGCCCGAAAGGCAGCGGCGGCACCGCGUCCGGUCCUCGAGCGUAUGGGGCUUCGUCACCCGCUCUUGUAGGCCCGGCCGGCGCUUGCCGACACAUCAAUCUUUUUUCCAGGUUGACCUCGGAUCAGGUAGGGAUACCCGCUGAACUUAAGCAUAUCAAUAAGCGGAGGA
rnacentral:misc_RNA from 1 species